UUGUUUGGGGUUUUUUUUCCAGUGGUAAAAUUUCAUCAGUUGCUUUGCAAAACAACCUUUUCUUGUUUAGGAUUUGGAAUUCUUUGUUCCCAGAAGCAACAUCUUGUGUAUUACGUAUUCAGAGGUAUUAAUGUGAUAUAGCCAAAUUUAUCUGUGAUAGUAUUACUGAAAAAUGUGAGAUGAAAGAGCAAAAAGCAAUAGCUGUAGCCUUGUGGUGGAAGCAAAAUGUUGGUCAGCAGACUUACUGCCUGACCUGAAUUACAAAGUUUUCUACUAGAAGUAAUAUAAGGAUAUUGGCAGUACAGCAGAACAAUAUAGAGCAGUUUUUGCUGUCAAUAUAAUAAUGACAAAUAAUAUAAUCAAUGUAAGAAAAAAUUAAGGAAUGUAAGUCAUAUUACACCUUGUUAAGUUUCAAUAGGUUAGUUCUCUCUGUAUGUGCCAUUUUAUAUUUGUGAAUUCCCAUAAUAUUAUUUGCAUGUCAUCACUUAAGUUCUAAUAUCUUGAAUAUUAAAAUAAUUUAAAAUAUAUUUAUUUCUUCAGUUUCUGUGUUGAACUGUCUUCAAAUAUCCUUUCAAGUGAAUUUAAAUUGAGAAUAAAGUACAAUUUAUAUUCUGGGCAUCAUCUUGUGGAAGUUCUAAAUCACUUCAUGAGGCUUUCAGCCUAGGUUAUGUCAUUUAUCCAUCAGCGCUCAGUCCAUUUAAUCCAGACCUCUCAGCUGUACAGACCUAGCUCCUGUUGUGAGUGAUCGGCCUGCUUGAGUGCUCCCAGCUUCUCCUGUCACAUCACAUUUGCAUAAAAGAGGACGGAUAACCAAAUUUGAGCACACAAAUGAAAAUGUUAAGCGCUGAACCUGUCACAGUUGUUGUUCAACUAAUUGUGAAAAAUUUGAUUUGCUGGCUUUUCACUGUUUAUCAUGUGGACCCCCUUCUCAAAUUUGCCUUGGCUUCUGCUUCUGUACAUGUAGCUUUUAAACUCUCUACACAAGCAGCCCACCCUGGGGAUUACUUACCUCUCCUACCAGCUUUUAAUGUUGGCUCAUCUACUUGACUAAAUUAGGCCACCAUGGCAAACAAACACAUAAUUAAAAACCUGGGAAAGACGACUGCAGUUGCACUUCUUAAAUUGAUUUUGCAGUCUAUUACUGGUAUAUGCCUUUGCAUUUUGCCAUUUUUAUCUUGUCCUUCUGUAAACCCAGAAAAUGUCUUUACUUUUGAUUGUAUAUAGGUGGGAGGAUAUAUUAUUUCAAAACGAAAGCUAAUAUUUUUUCCUGAAAUGGAAAUAGUAAAUAAAAACACAUUCUUAUUUCUGGGUAUUUUGUGGCAGCUUAUUACAGAGGUGCUGUAUUCAUUUGAAAUUAAGACCCAUUUUUGAACUGGCAUUGAAAAAUCAUGGAUGAAGUAUUGUUCAAAUUAUUGUGAUUUUUCAAAAUUCUUUCCAAAUGUACCUAGAACUGCUGUUGUAUUUAUAAUUCAAAAUACUUUCUCUUUAUUUAGUUUUAAAAGCUUCUUAUGAUUUAUACCAAGAGAUCACCAAUUAAAACAGUUGAAUAUCAUGUUGGGUUUUUUUGUGAGGGGAGAAGAGGUUCAGCCAAACAAUUAUCUAUUAAAAAAAAUAGAAUCAUCUACAAAUCCAAAUUAUACAUCUCUUUGGUAUUGUCAUUGGUUGGUUAUACUCUGAAUGCCCAUUGCUGUCAUCAUUUAAGGAGGUGGAUGAUAACAUGAGCAUAGUGAAUAUAAAUCUACCAAGACCAUUGAAGGCUUCUAAAAAUAAUUUGAUAAGAAAAACUGGUAUUUAGAUGUAUAACAAAAAUCUUUAUUUUUCCAGGAGUUCUAAAAUAUCAAAAUAAUUGUUUUCAAAUGAAAAAAAUUAUUCAUCAGCAGCUAUGGCUGAAAUACUGUUGAAAAAAAUAAAAUUGAAAUUAUUUUGCUUAAAAUCCUUUUAAAUUUCAUUGUAUUGUGUCUGUGAAGGGGUAGAAGUCACUAAAGUGACUUUCAUGUCAAGUGAAGUUCUGAAAAUAAUUGUACUAGUAGGAUGUAAUCUGUUAUCUGUUUUGUAAGCUGAUCAAGAUGCAUCUUAAAACUGUAGGAUAUUUCUAACUGUUUCUCAGGUAAGUUUUGUACCAAAAAAACCCUAAACCAAACAAAAAACAACCAAGUAACCCUACCCCCUCCAAACCUCCCCCCAUGUUUUCUUUUCAUUUAUGUAAUUUGUAGCCUAAACUGACUUUUCAUCCAGGUUAUAUAUAGUUAGGUGUCCUUUGUUUUAAAUACCUUUUUCCCUUCAUGAUGUUUACUUCCUUGAUCGUCAAAAGCUGUCACGUUGUCACAGCCUUCAGUUCACAAGGCUAAAUGAACUGAACUCUUAAAGGCCUUUGACAAAGCCUGAUGUAUUUAACUGCAGCAAUAUCAGAUUGUAACAUUCACAGAUCAGUAUGUUGGAGAGCACUGUCCUUCUCAUUUUUUAGACUGAAUUAUACUGUAAUUAAAAAUGUACCUGGAGAAAUA